rnacentral:rRNA from 1 species
AGGCCCUUCGGGGUACUCGAGCGGCGAACGGGUGAGUAACACGUGAGCAACCUGCCCCUGGCUCUGGGAUAGCUCCGGGAAACCGGGAUUAAUACCGGAUAUGACCUGCUUACGCAUGUUUGCGGGUGGAAAGUUUUUUCGGCUGGGGAUGGGCUCGCGGCCUAUCAGCUUGUUGGUGGGGUGAUGGCCUACCAAGGCGACGACGGGUAGCCGGCCUGAGAGGGCGGGCGGCCACACUGGGACUGAGACACGGCCCAGACUCCUACGGGAGGCAGCAGUGGGGAAUAUUGCGCAAUGGGCGGAAGCCUGACGCAGCGACGCCGCGUGGGGGAUGAAGGCCUUCGGGUUGUAAACCUCUUUCAGCAGGGGCGAAGCGAGAGUGACGGUACCUGCAGAAGAAGCGCCGGCUAACUACGUGCCAGCAGCCGCGGUAAUACGUAGGGCGCGAGCGUUGUCCGGAAUUAUUGGGCGUAAAGAGCUCGUAGGCGGCCUGUUGCGUCUGCUGUGAAAUCCCGGGGCUUAACCCCGGGCGUGCAGUGGAUACGGGCAGGCUGGAGGCAGGCAGGGGAGAAUGGAAUUCCCGGUGUAGCGGUGAAAUGCGCAGAUAUCGGGAGGAACACCGGUGGCGAAGGCGGUUCUCUGGGCCUGUUCUGACGCUGAGGAGCGAAAGCGUGGGGAGCGAACAGGAUUAGAUACCCUGGUAGUCCACGCUGUAAACGUUGGGCGCUAGGUGUGGGGUC